GACGAACGCUGGCGGCGUGCCUAAUACAUGCAAGUCGAGCGGAUUUAUCCUUCGGGAUAAGUUAGCGGCGGACGGGUGAGUAACACGUAGGCAACCUGCCUAUAAGACCUGGGAUAACUAUCGGAAACGAUAGCUAAGACCGGAUAACUGGUUUUCUCGCAUGAGAGAAUCAUGAAACACGGAGCAAUCUGUGGCUUAUAGAUGGGCCUGCGGCGCAUUAGCUAGUUGGUAGGGUAACGGCCUACCAAGGCGACGAUGCGUAGCCGACCUGAGAGGGUGAACGGCCACACUGGGACUGAGACACGGCCCAGACUCCUACGGGAGGCAGCAGUAGGGAAUCUUCCGCAAUGGACGCAAGUCUGACGGAGCAACGCCGCGUGAGUGAUGAAGGUUUUCGGAUCGUAAAGCUCUGUUGCCCUAGACGAACAGCAAGAGGAGUAACUGCCUUUUGUGUGACGGUAUAGGAGAAGAAAGCCCCGGCUAACUACGUGCCAGCCGCCGCAGUAAUAC
rnacentral:rRNA from 1 species